GAGCCAGGUGUUAAAUGAAAAUUCCCCAACUAAGUUUGAAGAGCUACUGACAGCCGAGUCACGCUUUAAGGCAAAAGACUGUCAUGCGCCCUCAUCACAGCCACACAUGCACACAGCAGCACUUCUCCUUCAAAAUAAGAAAAAUACAUAUUUCCUUAUCUUGGCCUGGCAGGCACUCCAGCUGGGAUUUUGCCUCUCUCCGCUAUCGGCGAGAUUGCCAGGCUGUGAGAAAUGGUGAGAAAGUAAUUACUUUUCAAAUCAUGCAAACUACAGUUAAUGCAAGGCUGGUUUAAGUGAAGGACAAAUUUGGGUGUUGAUUAUCCAAGAUGGCAGAAAGUUGGCACAUUUUGGGGCUUUCGUACUGGCUUGGCAUGAUUCUUAAGAAACCGGAUAUUUGACAUCUUCACAAGAAAACAAAGCAAAUCUGCAGAGAAAGAGAAAUUCCCUUUCUUUGCUAUUAACAGCUUAUCAAAGAUAACAGAGCAACUGAAGUAUAAAUACAAAUGAUGAGUCAUGGAUUCCUUACAGAGACAUAUUCAAAGGAUAUAGCAUACCAUCUUGGUCUUGAUUGAGCAGUUUGAUGCAUAACAAUAAGUAAACAUAACUAACUUUGAUAAUAGAAAUAAAUUUAAUUAUAAAACAUAGGUUGUAUGCAAAGUAGCAAUAAAUAGUUCUCUUACAACAAAAUAAAUAUUAAACAUGUAGCUGAUUGACAUUUGAAAAAAAAAACUUUUUUUAUUAAAAUGAGAAUGAGAGUGAGUUAAAUGAGAAUAUUCCCACUACAAACUAAUAAAUAAACCUUUAAAAAAAAGUACCCUAUUUACAUAAUGUGCUUAAAAGUUUA